rnacentral:rRNA from 1 species
CCUACGGGUGACAGCAGUGAGGAAUAUUGGUCAAUGGACGAGAGUCUGAACCAGCCAAGUAGCGUGAAGGAUGACUGCCCUAUGGGUUGUAAACUUCUUUUAUAUGGGAAUAAAAUGUUCCACGUGUGGGAUUUUGUAUGUACCAUAUGAAUAAGGAUCGGCUAACUCCGUGCCAGCAGCCUCGGUAAUACGGAGGAUCCGAGCGUUAUCCGGUUUUAUGGGGUUUAAAGGGGGCGUAGGGGGAUUGUUAAGUCAGUUGUGAAAGUUUGCGGCUCAACCGGAACAUUGCAGUUGACACUGGCAGUCUUUCGUACAGUAUAGUUGGGCGGGAUUCGUGGUGUAGCGGUGAAAUGCUUCGAUAUCACGAAGAACUCCGAUUGCGAUGGCAGUUCACUGGACUGCACCUGCCACUGAGGCUC